rnacentral:lncRNA from 1 species
CUAACUCAGAAAUGUUCAAGUUCUGUACUUUUAACCUUUAUGCACAUGCUUACUGGACCAAACUGCUUCACAGAAUACAUAACUAAACCAACCCACAUACAUAGCGAAGAAAACAUUGGAGGUAGCAAGAGAAUUAAUCUGAUGGAGGAUUUCACUAAAGGUCAGACAUAGCGAAGAAAACAUUGGAGGUAGCAAGAGAAUUAAUCCAAAGGAGGAUUUCACUAAAGGUGAACCAAUGUGCAGUAUGUAAUCAUACCAAUGAACCAUCAGAAAGACUCUCCCGUGUUGCAGGACCACCUUCAGG